rnacentral:siRNA from 1 species
AUGGUCAUGUCCACUUGGACCAUC